rnacentral:rRNA from 1 species
GACGAACGCUGGCGGCGUGCUUAACACAUGCAAGUCGAACGGAAAGGCCCUGCUUUUGUGGGGUGCUCGAGUGGCGAACGGGUGAGUAACACGUGAGUAACCUGCCCUUGACUUUGGGAUAACUUCAGGAAACUGGGGCUAAUACCGGAUAGGAGCUCCUGCUGCAUGGUGGGGGUUGGAAAGUUUCGGCGGUUGGGGAUGGACUCGCGGCUUAUCAGCUUGUUGGUGGGGUAGUGGCUUACCAAGGCUUUGACGGGUAGCCGGCCUGAGAGGGUGACCGGCCGCAUUGGGACUGAGAUACGGCCCAGACUCCUACGGGAGGCAGCAGUGGGGAAUAUUGCACAAUGGGCGGAAGCCUGAUGCAGCAACGCCACGUGCGGGAUGACGGCCUUCGGGUUGUAAACCGCUUUCGCCUGUGACGAAGCGUGAGUGACGGUAAUGGGUAAAGAAGCACCGGCUAACUACGUG